UACGUAGGGUGCAAGCGUUAAUCGGAAUUACUGGGCGUAAAGCGUGCGCAGGCGGUUGUGUAAGACAGAUGUGAAAUCCCCGGGCUCAACCUGGGAACUGCAUUUGUGACUGCACAGCUGGAGUGCGGCAGAGGGGGAUGGAAUUGCCGCGUGUAGCAGUGAAAUGCGUAGAUAUGCGGAGGAACACCGAUGGCGAAGGCAAUCCCCUGGGCCUGCACUGACGCUCAUGCACGAAAGCGUGGGGAGCAAACAGG
rnacentral:rRNA from 1 species